UUACGGCCAUAUCACGCUGAACACACCGGUUCUCGUCCGAUCACCGAAGUUAAGCAACGUCGAGCCUGGUCAGUACUUGGAUGGGUGACCGCUUGGGAAUACCAGGUGCUGUAAG
rnacentral:rRNA from 1 species